UACGAAGGGGGCGAGCGUUGUUCGGAAUUACUGGGCGUAAAGGGCGCGCAGGCGGCUCUGAAAGUCAGAUGUGAAAGCCCCGGGCUUAACCUGGGAACUGCAUUUGAUACUCUAGAGCUUGAGUACGGGAGAGGAGAGUGGAAUUCCCAGUGUAGAGGUGAAAUUCGUAGAUAUUGGGAAGAACACCGGUGGCGAAGGCGGAUCUCUGGGCCUUACCUGACGCUCAGGCACGAAAGCUAGGGGAGCGAACAGG
rnacentral:rRNA from 1 species